GAUGAAGAACGUAGCGAAAUGCGAUAAGUAAUGUGAAUUGCAGAAUUCAGUGAAUCAUCGAAUCUUUGAACGCACAUUGCGCCCGCCAGUAUUCUGGCGGGCAUGCCUGUUCGAGCGUCAUUUCAACCAUCAAGCCCCAGGCUUGUGUUGGAGCCCUGCGGCUGCCGCAGCCUCCCAAAACCAGUGGCGGGCUCGCUAUCACACCGAGUGCAGUAGUUUACUCUUCGCUCAGGGCGUGUGGCGGGUGCUAGCCGUAAAACCCCCAACUUCUCAAGGUUGACCUCGGAUCAGGUAGGAAUACCCGCUGAACUUAAGCAUAUCAAUAAGCAGAGGA
rnacentral:misc_RNA from 1 species